UACGUAGGGGGCUAGCGUUGUCCGGAUUUAUUGGGCGUAAAGAGCGUGUAGGCGGCCAUGUAGGUCCGGUGUGAAAACUCGAGGCUUAACCUCGAGAUGUCAUCGGAAACCAUUUGGCUAGAGUCCGGAAGAGGAGAGUGGAAUUCCUGGUGUAGCGGUGAAAUGCGCAGAUAUCAGGAAGAACACCAGUGGCGAAGGCGACUUACUGGACUGAAACUGACGCUGAGUCACGAAAGCGUGGGGAGCGAACAGG
rnacentral:rRNA from 1 species